AGUGAACGCUGGCGGUAGGCCUAACACAUGCAAGUCGAACGGCAGCACAGUAAGAGCUUGCUCUUACGGGUGGCGAGUGGCGGACGGGUGAGGAAUACAUCGGAAUCUACUUUUUCGUGGGGGAUAACGUAGGGAAACUUACGCUAAUACCGCAUACGACCUACGGGUGAAAGCAGGGGAUCUUCGGACCUUGCGCGAUUGAAUGAGCCGAUGUCGGAUUAGCUAGUUGGUGGGGUAAAGGCCCACCAAGGCGACGAUCCGUAGCUGGUCUGAGAGGAUGAUCAGCCACACUGGAACUGAGACACGGUCCAGACUCCUACGGGAGGCAGCAGUGGGGAAUAUUGGACAAUGGGCGGAAGCCUGAUCCAACCAUACCGCGUGGGUGAAGAAGGCCUUCGGGUUGUAAAGCCCUUUUGUUGGGAAAGAAAAGCAGCAGGUUAAUACCCCGCUGUUCCGACGGUACCCAAAGAAUAAGCACCGGCUAACUUCGUG
rnacentral:rRNA from 1 species